rnacentral:rRNA from 1 species
UACGUAGGUGGCAAGCGUUAUCCGGAUUUAUUGGGUGUAAAGGGCGUGUAGGCGGGAGCGCAAGUCAGAUGUGAAAACUCAGGGCUCAACCCUGAGCCUGCAUUUGAAACUGUGUUUCUUGAGUGCUGGAGAGGCAAUCGGAAUUCCGAGUGUAGCGGUGAAAUGCGUAGAUAUACGGAGGAACACCAGUGGCGAAGGCGGAUUGCUGGACAGUAACUGACGCUGAGGCGCGAAAGCGUGGGGAGCAAACAGG